rnacentral:lncRNA from 1 species
GAUUGGCCAACAGGCCAAAUAGAUUUGGGUUUGGGUCCGAAACCCUUCCCCUGCCUGCAACAGGCAGGUCUUCCUUCCCCACCACCGAACAUGAUCAGCCAGGCGAUUGUCGGGGUGCAACCUUGUUCGGUUGGCUCCACUCAUUGGCCCCAGGGUCUGAAUUCACCCGAACCAAGUCAGUCAUAGAACGUCUUGACCCAGUUGAGUCAUCCCCGACAUCCCCAUCGUCAGUCUCCUCCCAUCCGCCCC